rnacentral:lncRNA from 1 species
UUUGUAGACGGAAAUAACUAAAAAAAAAUUAAAAUUAUUGGCGCGAAAAGCACAAACCCUAUUUUUUGACAAUUGUAUCAUUGUCAAUUCCAAAGAUUUACAAUAUCAUAGGUAAAGAUUAUAACUAUUUCAUUUUCAAGUUUUUAAUUUUAUCUUUUUUAUAGGAACUUUAAGAAAAUAUUAAUAAUUUAAAGAGAAUUUUUUAAUUUUUUAAUUUUAUCUUUCUUGUAGGAACUUUAAGAAAAUAUUAAUAAUUUAAAGAGGGUAAAAUAGCCAACAAUUUUAAUUUUUUUUAGUUAUUUCCGUCUAUAAAUCGUUAUUAAGGGUAAUAUUGUCUUUGCACAGUCAACUAACGGUCAAUAUUAAAGUUAACUAACGGUAGGGGGUUUUGUACAAAUAAACAAAUUCUCGCCAUCUACUUGCAAUAAGCCCAAACCUCAGGGGAGGUUUUUAAAAAUUACCCCUUUUUUUUUAAUACUGUUGUACUGAACUGUUAAUAAUAUUACAUCAGCUAUUACAAUUAAUAUUUACAAACAGAUUAUAUAAAUGAAACUUUUUUUGUGGUGUGUACUCCUCUAAAGCACUGCUCAAAUUUUUUAAAUCCUCUAUAAUAUUCGAUGGAUGUCCACUCCACUCACAUUUCGUGAGGGAUAGACCGGCUCUACUCAAUUAUUUGAUAAUUGAGGAAUGACUGAAAUUAAUCUCAUAAUACUUUUAUGGAAGUUCUAACCCUUACACUCAACAUUAUAAGUGUAAGAAUUCUUUUAGUGACCAAAGACUCAUUGGCCUUGCUCAAACCUUUUUGAAAGGUAGAAUUUUCUUCUCUUUAAUUAAUGGUUCACAUGAUAUGUGUGAAUUUUUACUUUUAAUACUAUAGUACAAUAUAUUAAUUAUAGAAUCAAAAUGUCUAGAUAGUUCAAUUAUAGCAUAAUUAAUUUGAAUAGCUAGAACCUUAAACCAUGUUUGGAGAUGGUGGAUAUGUACAUAAAUUGUUCUACACUAACAUAGUCUAGAUAUAAAUAGGAACAAUUUACAACUCAGACUCAUAUCACACACAUCUCGUUCUUUAGCUACUAAAGGACAAUUAAUUGAUAACUAUACACAAAAAAAAGGAAGGAAAAGAAGAGUAUUACAACUCUUUUUUUUUUUUAAUUCUGUUAUACACAGGUUGUUACUGAUAUUAUAUCAGACAUUACAAUUACAAUAUUUACAAUCGUACUGAAUAACUGGGACCACCGCCAUACAAACAUUAACCUACUGAAACACUUGUUCAGAUACUUUAAACCCUCUCUAAUAUUCGAGGGGUGCCUACUCCACUCACAUUUCGUAAGAGAGAAACUGUCUCCACUCAAUUAAUUGAUAAUUGAGGGAGUAUUAAAACUAACUUUUAUAAUGCUCUUAUGUAGGCUCGAACUCUUUCACUCAACAUUGUAAGUGCAAGGUUUCUCCCAUUGGAUCAAAACCCAUUGGUAGAAGAGUAUUACAACUAGAUUCCUCAAGACAAGCUAAGUCAAAUUCAAUAAUGGCCAAUAAAACAGUCUGGUGGCUUAAUUUGAACAUGGGAAAGAGAGGGAUGAAGAUUGAAGCUAACCUUUCUUUCUCAAUGUCGCCUUCCGAAUAGCAAGCCAUUACGUGCGGAACUGAUAUUUCAUUGAAGAACACAUUUAACUGUACUAUUGCUUUGCUAGCAUUGUUCCUUUUUGGUAAUUAAGUGGUCCAGAGUAAUGCAUGGUUUUUAUGAACCCGAAAGUUAUACAUAUUGGUGAAAACGUUUAAUAGAAACUAAGCCAUGCAUCGAGGUAGAGAUGGCAAAACCCCGGGUCGGGUCCGGGUAUUGCCAUGACCGGACCCUGCCCGGAUGCAACCGGUCCGGGUCCGGGUCCGGGCCGGGUUUUAAUUCGGGUACCCGGAUUUUAUAUUUUUUAAUAUUUUAUGUGUAUAUAUUUUUUGAUAAUUUUAUAAGUUUUAAAUUUAUUUCAAUAAAAUUUGACAUGAAAAUAUAAAUUUAUAUGUAUAAUAAAUAAGUCAAAUAAAUAUAAAAUAUUUAAAAUAAUAUAUAUUUUAUAAUUUUUUUUAAUAAAAUUCGGGUUCCGAGUUUAUCAAGUGAUGCCCAAGACCGACCCGGCUUCAUAAUACCCGGCCUGCAACGCCCGGGUCCGAACCGGACGGGUAUUUUUGCCAUUUCUACAUCGAGGUUAUCAGAAUACCCCAGUGAUUAUUAUUAUUAUUAUUAUUAUUUGGAGAAAGUGAACCAAUGGGCAGAUUCUAAAACUUUUUGGGGAAUCAGAGAUAAGAGUUUAAUAUUAUGAUAUUAUCCCUUUGCUAGUUCACGAAAUUAACUAGGGCCGUGUGCCACUAAACUGAAGUACUAAAAUUUCAAAAAUACCGCCCAUUUUCUUUCUCUCUCUCACAAGCCAGCUCUCACCUGAUGGCUGUCUCUGCGUGAUGGGGAAUUGGGGAUUGUAAUCUAGUUUCUCUAAGGCAAUAAUUUGUCAUGAUUCAUUCGGCUGGGAUCUAUGGCAUGUUUGGCAACCCAGGUUCAAUAAAUGGAACAUGUUGUAUUCCAGAUAUGGAUCGUCAAUCAUAUUUAACUUGAUUGACUUAGUUGUAUUCCUUAUAUCAUAUGCCCAUCAGGGGGUAACUGAUUGAUUCUGCUCCUUAUUUCGAAGGAAAUUUCAUCCAAAUUGACUUAGUCAAAAUGGGCCCAAACAUGUGCUAUCAUAAGGUUAAUUCGGGAUAUGUUAUAAUAAAAUUAAUUCAGGACGUGUCCGGUCAGAUAUCCAGCUAUAUGUUAUCAAUACACAAAAAUAACAAUAAUAAUUAAAAUUAAAAUUCUUACGAUAGUUAAUAAUAGAUACUUCUGAAGAUACAUAGUUCCAGUGUUUCACUAUAAUUAGAGGCCGUAACCUACUAGGCUUUUGAGCUUGAAUUAGUGAAUUGUAGAUUUUGAUACAUUUUCGCACAAGCAUAUGAAUUGUUAAGGAAACAAUUGCUUUUACUUCCCCAUGAAGGAAUAAAAAUCAAAACAAGUUGUUUAAACGGUAUGAAUUAAAAUAAGAAUGAGUGGUAUUAAUUUGUUUACUUUAUUUUGUAAUUAAAAUAUAUUGUUAAAAGUUACCAAAAUGCCGUAAGUUAAAAUUAUGUAUAUUUUACUAACAAAACAAAUAAGUAAACAUUUUUCGAAGAAAAAUAUAUGCAUGUUUAUUGUAAGAUUGAGCGUAACACUAUUAUUUUUAGAAUGAACUAAUUGUUAUUGAUGUUGUUAAUAAUAAUUACUAUAUUAUUGUUGUUGUUGUUA